GUGUCGAGGAUCUUAAGCUUCAAAGCUGGGAACGCCACAGCCACCGUGAGCUCUGUAUGAUAGUGAUGAUGACGUUGUAUUUAUUAUCAUCUCAUGUUGAGGAUGAUAAAUGGAUGAUCUUUUUCUUACAAACACACAAUCAAUAUGCAAAUUGAAUUGGGCUGAUUGCAGAUUUACGUUCUGAGUCGGAUUUAGGUUGUUCUUUUGAACCCAACCACAAUUUUGUUUGGGGACCUCAACCCGAACCGGACCAAAGUCUAAUUAUUGUUGCCGUGGACCUGACUGAAUCAAUUUUGACUGGUUGGCCCGAAGACGAGUGGGGUCAAUUUGGCCCUCCGUUACCAUUCACUCUCCUUAAUCUCCGGCCCAUUUGCGUAAGAAACUACUUUCUCGCCUCGUGCUCGCUAGAAAGCGAUCGAGAUCGGAGGAGAAGAGAGGAGAAAGGAGAGAGGAGGGGAGAGCGAUGGGGAAGGAGGAGCUGACCGAGGAGCAGGUGGCGUCGAUGCGGGAGGCGUUCACCCUGUUUGACACGGACGGGGACGGGCGGAUCGCGUCGUCGGAACUGGGGAUCCUGAUGCGAUCUCUGGGCGGCAACCCCACGCAGGCCCAGUUGAAAGAGAUCGCCGCCUCGGAGGGCCUCACCGCCCCCUUCGACUUCCCCCGCUUCCUCGACCUCAUGCGCAAGCACCUCCGCCCCGAGCCCUUCGAUCGCCAGCUUCGCGACGCCUUCCGCGUCCUCGACAAGGACGGCACCGGAACCGUCGCCGUCGCCGACCUCCGCCACGUCCUCACCAGCAUCGGCGAGAAGCUCGAGCCCAACGAGUUUGACGAGUGGAUCCGCGAGGUCGAGGUCGCCCCUGACGGCACCAUCCGCUACGAGGACUUCAUCCUUCGCAUGGUCGCCAAGUGAUCCGUCCGAUCUCAUCCCCUCUUACGAUUCUUGGC
rnacentral:lncRNA from 1 species